rnacentral:rRNA from 1 species
AGUAAAUAGAUACCCAGGUAGUCCACGCCCGUAAAACGAUGUGUACUAGGUGUAGGAGGUAUCGACUCCUUCUGUGCCGCAGUUAAACACAAUAAGUACUCCGCCUGGGAAGUACGGUCGCAAGAUUAAAACUCAAAGGAAUUGACGGGGGCCCGCACAAGCAGCGGAGCAUGUGGUUUAAUUCGAAGCAACGCGAAGAACCUUACCUAGACUUGACAUCUCCUGAAUAGUGUAGAGAUACAUGAAGCCCUUCGGGGCAGGAAGACAGGUGGUGCAUGGUUGUCGUCAGCUCGUGUCGUGAGAUGUUGGGUUAAGUCCCGCAACGAGCGCAACCCUUAUUACUAGUUGCUACCAUUAAGUUGAGCACUCUAGUGAGACUGCCCGGGUUAACCGGGAGGAAGGCGGGGAUGACGUCAAAUCAUCAUGCCCCUUAUGUCUAGGGCAACACACGUGCUACAAUGGUGAGUACAGAU